GACGGGGAGCACCACAACGGGUGGAGCUUGUCGGUUUAAUUGGAUUCAACGCCGGAAAUCUUACCGGGACCGACAGCAAUAUGAAGGCCAGGCUGAAGACUUUGCCGGAUUAGCUGAGAGGUGGUGCAUGGCCGUCGUCAGUUCGUACUGUGAAGCAUCCUGUUAAGUCAGGCAACGAGCGAGACCCACGCCCACAGUUGCCAGCGUACUCUCCGGAGUGACGGGUACACUGUGGGGACCGCCGCUGCUAAAGCGGAGGAAGGAAUGGGCAACGGUAGGUCAGUAUGCCCCGAAUAUCCCGGGCUACACGCGAGCUACAAUGGUUGGUACAAUGGGUAUCUACCCCGAAAGGGGACGGGAAUCUCCUAAAACCAAUCUUAGUUCGGAUUGAGGGCUGCAACUCGCCCUCAUGAAGCUGGAAUCCGUAGUAAUCGCGUUUCAACAGAACGCGGUGAAUACGUCCCUGCUCCUU
rnacentral:rRNA from 1 species